ACUUCUCGCGGUAUCUGAUUCUCAGGCUCCACCCCUUGCACGCUUUUCAUCUUUGUUGGCCAACAGUUCUCGGGACGAGGGCUUUGGGAUGUCAGUUUCGCCGAGGUCGUCCUUGCGUGGGCGGGGAGGUGAAGGUGGCCGUUUAACCCGGGCUCCCGUGAAAUAAAGUGGCCAAGCGUUAGCACUCCCGCCUUUCCAGCCGUCAGUGACCCCUCAGCUUACAAACUGGCUGACAGCCCCAGGGAAGGAGAGAGCAGGUGCCCAGGCGAGGGGCAGACAGACCCAGUGAGGCAGAGACCCGGUGCCCAGGUGAGGGGCUCGGCGUCCUGCCCCAGCAUCACAAUGCUGGUGUGGGUGCAGCCCCAAAUGUAGCAGCGGCGGGGCUCCGUGGGGAGGACGACCCUCCGCCUUUGCUAAAGGGAUGCAUUUCAAAGGCGAUGGCACCUCACCAGUGUUUUGCAAGGUCCCUCGUUUGCUUAGUGACUCGUGGAGCAUCUGCGGAAUGCAUGCUAUUUGUCAGGCCCCAGGGAGCUAGCAAAGGGCGUUCUGGGGUGAUCCAAGGUUUGUCCAGCGUUAACGUGCAUAGGAAACAACUUGGGGUUCUUGUAGACACGCAGGUUCUGAUUCAAUAGGUCUGGGAUGGGCCCGAGAUUCUGCAUUUCUAACGGACUAACAGGAGACGAUGCCAGUGGUUUGAGUAGCAAGGAGGUAGAGAAAUAGCUAGGGCCGUGUGAAAGGUUGGGAGAUGCUAGGCUCUUUUACGCUCAAACUCCGCAUCUAAUGUCCUAUCAAGCGUAGUUAAAUAUGGCCACAUCCUUCGCAAUUGCUGUAAAAUAUUGGGAGCUUUUUGAAAAAUUAAUUUCACCUGCUGGUUAUUUGGCUCUCUUAACUUGUAGCUCACAUUAGGCUCUGAUAACCCGUUAUGUGCAUAUUCACACGUCCUUGACUGAGGAAGCUCCACUUACAAACUGUUUUCAAAUGUAAGAAAACAUUCUUACAAAUUAUAUUUAACAAUGAAUUAGAUACUAUAGUACAUUUUGUAGGCAUUGUAUUGAUUUCGCUAUCGUUUUUUGUAUUUGUAGUCCCAUUUUGCAGGGUAAUAUUUAUUACAGUAAAAAAAUGGACACAAUUGGGGCGCCUGGGUGGCUCAGUUAAGCGUCUGACUUCGGCUCAGGUUAUGAUCUCGCGGUUCAUGAGUUGGAGCCCUGUAUCAGGCUCUGUGCUAACAGCUCAGAGCCUGGAACCUGCCUCAGAUUCUGUGUCUCCCUGUCUCUCUGUCCCUCUCCCACUCAUGCUAUCUCUCUCUCUCUCUCUCUCUCUCUCUCUCUGUCUCUCUCUCUCUCAAAUAAAAACAUUAAAAAAUUAAAAAAAAUUUUUUAAUUGGAUACAAUUUAACUUAUCUAGCAUUAGGAAGAUUGGUGACUCUUUUGGUAUAUAAUACCACUAACUUAUGCUUAACUAUUCUUUUUCAGGAAUGUUCAAGAACAUGUAAAUUGUGCAUGAUAUGGUAAAUGAUAACAUUUUAAAAAGCAAAUAUGCGUUAUGAUCCUAAUUUUUAAAACAUGUCUUUUUCUGUGUGUCCAUAAACACACGUCUGAGAGAUCAGAUGAAGAGAUUUAAAAUUUAUUCUUUAAAGUUUUAUUUUCCAAUUUUCUUUCUGAGUAUGCAUUAUUUUAUAAAAUACCAUUUUUAUUAAGCUUUUAAACACAUUUAGAGUUUAGCUUCCAGUAAUCUUUAAAUUCUGUAUAAUCUUUAAGUCUGUAUAAUUCUUCGUAAGAAGGGAUUUUUCUGAGGCAGCAGUAAUUCUUUUUUCAGGACUCAAAUAUAUUGUAGUCUUCUUGAGAAGUAGGUUCCUGAACCCUUGCUGAUGUUGCUUAGUAGAAAAAUGUGCUGGAAAUGGCCUAUGAAAAGGUAGAGAGCAAUGAUACAGAGAGACCCAGAAAUUCGGCAUAGAGAGGUCAGCUGCCAAAAGGGUCCCGGGAGCAGAAGGGGUCUUCAGGCUGUGAGGGGACCAGUGACUUUCAGCACCGUUUGUGGCGUGAAACUGGAGAAGGGACUGGAUUUCCUGAGGCCACUCCCAGGGUUAGAACCCGCGAGAAGUGGGCAGUCAGGGAGGGGGACUCCUCAGGGCAGGAGAAAUUGGGCCCAUGUGAGUUACAGAAGGUGGAUCCAUUCUUCCAGCUCUGAGUGCUUGUUAAUUGCUUUCUUUCCUCUGUUCAGACAUUUUUAAGUGAUCUGUGUGUGCGUUUGUGUUAUUGUUUCUGAUGUAAGUGAUUGAAAUUUAAUGUUGUGGGUGAUAUGGAUCAUUACUUCCAGAAUUUCACACUUUAAGAAGCUUAUUUAUAUUUGGUUUUGUAUUGUAUCAGUGUCGGCCUUCCUCCUCCUUCCCUAUCCCCCAGCUCCCAGCCCAGCUCGGGGUGUACUUCAUCAUCUAUGGAUUGCUCUGCCUUGUCGGUAUCAGUUCUUGUAACCAAUCAGCACUCUCAGGUGUUUACUUGGCUCCCCAGUACCUGAUGCUUUCACCACUUAGGAAGUGUUUGUUGAAUGAAUGAACCGCUUACGGUUGUUCAACAAGCUGUUCCAGAAGCCUGUGUUUACUGGUGCUUUUCCUCUGCUUAGAAUACCUUUCCCUUCCUCACUUGGCUUAUUCCUCAAGACUCAUCUCAGGUAUCAUCUCUAAUAAGUCUCUCCUGACACCUCCUGCCUCCUGUGAGCUCCUCGGGGGCUAGUGUCCCAUCUGAUCAUCCGUUUUUACCAACACCAGGCAUAGCACCAGCACACUAAACUGUUUUAGCUUUUAGGCCACAGAGGUACAAUAACUAGUAUGACAGGCCUUUAAAAUGCUUAUCAGAGUGUUUGAGACAUUGAAAUAAUGUUGUUGGCUCCAGUUUUAUGUUUUUUAAUCUGCAAAACCAAAGCUACAAAUGUUUAAUGAAGUAUCUCCAGACUAUUGCUGCGUCAGCCAUUAAUUGUUAAAGUUCAUAUUCACACGCAGUCCGUUCCAUUCUAAGACAAAUUCCAAUUUGUAGGUUAGGCUGCACUUAAAAUAUCCUCCCGGCACACAUGAUGACUUCAGAGAAAUGCCAAUCAUAAAUUUGCUUAGUGACUCACGGCACACAGUAUUUUCCGAAGCAAAAUUAGAAAUCUUGCCAGAAACGUUUACAGUUCUCUGUAUGGCCGAUGUGCCUAGGGCCCUUGGAGUUCCACCUGCAGAGAGGAGAACAUACAGAGACCACUUCAAUUUGCCACAGUCCCUCCACGACCCAGUGUCUUCCACCUACCCGCCCUCGCUCGUUUACUUUGCUUGCUGGACCUUGGAAGGCCCUGGGUUACUGACUCCGUCCUGGACUCUCAGAGCUGGAAGAGAGAUUUGAGAUUAUCUGAGGCCACCCCAUCCCUCUGCAGAUGCGAGCAGCGAGGUCUGGACAGGAGAAUGGAAUUGACUUGUUGCACAUCAGACCAAGCCAGUUUAACAGCAAAGGCAGGAUGAGUCUGCGACCCACGCAAACUUAGAGAAAGUUGAAUUGCAGUCUCGGGCCCCUGGACCUUUAAUUUGUCUCGGAAUCUCCAGAGGAAAUUGUGAAACGUCUCCGGCCAUCUCCAGAUUCAAAAUCCAUAUUCUAGGCUAGUGCCAAGAAUCUGCAUUUUCAGCACGAUUACAGUCUCUUGACCCCCGUGGCCUAGGACCACAGACACCCUGCUGGGGCACAGGAAGAACUGGUACACCUUUAAUCUGAAAGUAAGGGCAAAAUUAAGCCUUGCUGAUAGUGAAUAUGCAGAUUGACACAGGCACCCUUCCUUGGGCCACGUAUCAGUCAGGUAAGAUUGGGUCCUGCAGCCAAAACCAAUGAUCCCCGAGCGUAGUGACCUACAAGCAGGGUUCCCAAGCGACAUGCAGGAUGCUAAGUUACGUGUGAAUUUCAGGUAAACUGUGAAAACAUUUUUAAGGGUAAGAAUGUCCCGAAUGUUUAUUGGAAGUGUGUCCUGUGCAGUUUGAGACCUCCUUGCACUAAUCCACAUAACGUUUAGUCUGCGAGAGACCACCUCAACCCGGGGCAUUUCCAGUUGAAUAGUGGUGCAGCAUGACAAAACAAGGCCAUUAGGAGAAUCUUUUCAGAAUUCUGUGAUGAGGGGUGAUCUCGAAAAUCUCACGUACCAAACACAGUUCACAGAUCAUCUUGCAACACUCAAAAGAAUUGUCGAGGGGCGCCUGGGUGGCUCAGUCGGUUGAACGUCCGACUCUGGCUCAGGUCGUGAUCUCGCGGUCCGUGAGUUCAAGGCCGGCGUCGGGCUCUGUGCCAACAGCUGGGAGCCUGUUUCGGAUUCUGUGUCUCCCUCUCUCUCUGACCCUCCCCCGCUCAUUCUGUCUCAAAAAAAUAAAUAAACGUUAAGAAAAAAAAAUUAAAGAAAAAAGAAUUGUCGAGCUUAAAGAAUGAGUUACAAUAUUUUAUAAAAAGUGUCCCACAUUUCCUCACCUUUUCUGUGAUGGCACAUAGCUGUCAUUAGGAUGUUUUUGGAGAAAAUUUCACAAAAAUAAACAGACUUAAUCUAUUUGUCCGAGAUAAAGGUGGUGUCUGAACAGCGAGUGAGAAAAGUCAUUGGUUUAAAAAAAAAAAAAAAAAAACCUUAGAGAGCAUUUUGGAAAAUAAAUGUUUACAAAUCUUUCCAACAUUCUGUGAUUUUGUUGCUAAAACUGACCUAUACUGUGUAUAAAAAAACUCAUUUCCACACAGUCAACUUGAGAGCUGAAAUUUCUCACCUCCUUUAAAACUCUUCCAAAUGGAGUUUGUUUUAAAUUUAUUGAGGGGGGUGCCUGGGUGGCUCAGUUCGACUUCAGCUCAGGUCAUGAUCUCGUGGUUCACAAGGUAGAGCCCUGCGUCCGGCUCUGUGCUGACAGCUUAGAGCCUGGAGCCUGCUUCAGAUUCUGUCUCCCUCUCUCUGCCCCUUCCCCGCUGACUCUCUCUCUUUCCCUCCCUCUCUCUCCCUCUCUAAAAAAUAAACGCUAAAAUUUUUUUUUAAAAAGGAAACAAGUGUAUUGAGGACUUCUAAGGAGGACAGUGGUUUGGAUCUGUUUUACCUAAGGCGGUGUGGGAGGGAAGGGAGACAGCAGAGCAGACGACUACAGAGACCGGCAAGCCUGCCCUGCACACCCUGAAGGCUUGUGAAAACCCUAUCCACGUGGUAAUUGUUUUCUUCGAUACCACUCAUUGGCAUUCUUAGAAUGCCCAGACUGACCUCUUUGUCAGCCACCAACUGAUUUGUUUACCCCAAACAUGCGCCUGCAAAGUUCACUGUUCCCAGCUGCCAGCAGGUGUCUUCCUUUCUGCUUUCUCUUAUACAUCCUGUUUUAAAUUUUGCUCCUUGACAACAGCCUGUUGACCUUUCUUCCUCACCUAGGGGUAAACAAAUUGCAUGCAAAACAACUAACUUAAUAGAUCUGAAUUAUUCCUUGACACCAUGUAAUUGGUUUGCAAAAGACUGACUCAAAGAAGUUGGAAAUGUAACCAAAUUUUAGCUACAAUGUUUGCAUCGUCUAUGGCUACAAGUGAAAUGAGCAGUUGGACUUGGUAAGCUCUGAAACCGUGUGAUUCAGUCCUAUUUACUUGCCUUUUGAGACAUUUUAAGUAACGGCAGCCAUUCCAACUGAGUUUUGAAAUAAACUGAACUUAGAAGGACACUUCAAGUUGUUCUAUCACAAAGUUUUCCACCAAGAGCCACAAAAAUAAAAUCGUGUGACCACUUUACUCUCGUUUAAAGAGUAUCAGUGGAACAGAACCAGUUUGAAGUCAACACGUAAAACACAAAUAUUUUAAAUAUUGUUUUCUACUUUUGUGUUUUCAUGUUAAUGUGCUACUGUGACUGGGUCAUUUACAAGUAAGUAAAUACACACACAUUGAGGCUGCACGUCCAGAACAUUUUUUCAACCAAUAAUAAUGUGUGAUAAGAAAGUUUAUAGACAGCUGUUUUUAGAAAGACUGUUUAGGCACACCAUGGUACCUAACACCACUUGCCAGCUAUUCUUUAAGUCAAGAAUAGUUAUCAAGUUAAUGAUCUAUGCAGUAUUUUCCUUUACGCUUUAACAAGAGUAGAAGAAUUUUAAAGUAUAAGACAAUGCAAACUUUGAUGUGCAAUUUACCAGCGUAAUAUAGCAAAACCCUCUUGGUUAAAACUACACGAUACCUUGUUUAAUUUAGGUGAUAAUUAUUUAAGUGCUGUUCUGUAGACUAAUAACAUUUAAGCAAAUUAUUUGAAACUCUUUGGAAACCAUUUUGAUGGCACUUGAAGGAGUUGCUUUUCUAGAUACCGGAAGAACUUAAAUUCUUUUGUAAGCUAUUCAUUUUUGGCUUUCAGAAUACAAUGCAAGUGAUUGUAGGGGCAGGCUGUCUCUGCUAGGUAUUACCUUCACAGCAAGAAUGUUCUUAGUCUUUGUGAGUUUUAUCCUCCGAAGCUGAUCGUCACCCUAAAUGAAGCCUAGGAACAGUUUCAAAGUCACUGAGCAUCUGCUGUUCAGGCCAACUCGGUGGCUGGAGCCCAAGUGGUGGUCCCUGCUGUGCACGUACCCUCGGCUAAGAGUGAGAAGGAGGGAAUUCUCAGAUGAAUCUUCAAAUCAAUCCCUCAAUCAGGCUCUGCCUGUGGGUCCCCCUCUCUGCCUUUCUAGUUAAGGGCUUGGCCUUUGCAGACGCUAAUGAAUCGCUGAGCUAUUAAGCAUUUACAAGGAGCCUUCCAGUGGAGACAACAAAAGGAAGGCAUCACUUAGUGCCAAAGUGUCAGAUGUCAAAGCCACCGACGGGACAGACAUUUUUACUAAACAUUUCUGUAUUUGUCUUCGCAUGGGCAUUUUACUUUCUCAGUGUCGUGCAGUCACAAGGCACCCAGUAAUAGAAUCCACUGCAUGUAAAGGUCGGGCUGAAUGAUAAACCACCGGAUGAACCAUGGGUGUUAGCCACAUAUGACAAUUUUUUUACAUAUUUAUUUACAUUUUUCCUCUCUAGGAAAUGAAGCCAGAAUCCACAGAUGUCAUUAUCCAUCUACAUACAUCUGUUUACUACCCAGAAGGCAAGGAUAUUGCAUUUUAAAAGGGUCUGGACUUUUGUUCUUAUCACAAAUGACUUGAGUGGCUCUGACCAUUCACGUUUACCCGGAGUGAAAGUGUCAGUGAAAGCUUUGCUUCCUGGAGAGCUUUGAGAUUCUGGUACAAAAGGCAUUUUAUAAGCACAAAGUGGAAAAGCAUCAUUUAUAUUCAUUUGCUGCUGUGGCAUUUCUCUCUGGAAUCUUCCUCUUGUCUGUCAACAUUGUACAAAAAGACUGGCCUCAUCUACAUUACAAAUAUCAUUCUUUUAAUGGUCUGCAAGUAGGAAAGAGACAGCAUAAGAAGGGAGGGGGCGGAGAAACUUGAGGUCUCCUGUUGGAAGAUCUAGGCUUGUUUAUCCCUAAAACUGGGUGCACAUCACCAGUGUGGAUGCUGUGAAUUGUUUCGGAAAGACUGGGGUAUGGGAGUACUACAAUGCUUUGUG
rnacentral:lncRNA from 1 species